GGAGGGUGGAGACAGGUCUUGUUACCAUGGCCGAGAGCAGCAGGACAAAGGGCGCAGUACCACUCAUCUCUGUUGGACUGCUCUAAGAAAUCAAAAUAGAAACAAUGGAAAUUAGCACAGGAUUUCAACCAAAGCAUCCCAAUGGUAAAACAAAGACUGACUCUACUUCAAAAAUGAAGAAAGGACUCCUCUGAUUGACAGCAGGAAGGAAAUAAAUAAAAAUAGCUCUUUUCCAAACCCAGAGAGUUAUUAUUUAUUGCAGAGCUUCUACCAGGAGCCAUCAUCUUCCCCUCCUGGCUGGCUUUCCUGCAGAGUCAAAGACACAACACAUAUCCUCCAGCCAUGUAAUAUUGCUGCUCUUGUGCUGUCUGUGCACUUCUGAUCAAACUUUCUUUGAUCAGAAAAUUAAUCUUAACUGGAAAUAGGAAACUAAAGGGAUAUUUACUGGAUACAAACAAUAGGAAAUUAUCAGAUGAUUAGUAAUCUUUUUCCAGGGCACUAUAGUUUCUCAAACACAAAUCUGACUAAGGCUGUAAGUGUAAAUUCUAAUCUCAGUAAUGACAUCUCCUGUCAUACUGCACUCUCACCUGCACAAGCACUGCAAUGCACAUUGCUCCACAUACAGUCUCCCUUCAAUUUACACAACUCUAGAGGGUUGCCAGUAGCCUACCACAGCUUUGUGGACUGUUGACUUUGACCUUUUACCAGCAGAACUGUCCACUACAAUAACUGAACCUGACUUGCUGAGAAAGCGAAUCACAACAAAAUGAGGAAUUUUAAUCAGCCAUUGCUUUUGUUACAGUGUGCAUGGAGUUGCUGAGCGGUCGGUGUCGGCUGGGUGUUUUCCUCUGAUUGAUGCCAUCUGUACCUAUGGAUGUGUGCUUCAGGACCAAGGUGAGCAGGUCCUUUGAGGAAGACAAGAGAGCCAGGACAAGCACUGAUCAGGCCACAGCAGCGCAGAGGACACGUUCAUUCUUCCCCCAUCCCACCAUAUUCAUCCACUGGGGUGAGAGACCCAAAUCUUUAUUUACAAAGCUGGCUUUUGUCAUAUCCUGCCCAGCAUCUAGAUCAGAGCUCUCUCAUUCACCAGUGCUGAUGUUUCCACGGAAGAUGGAUUAAUCUUUUUUUUUUUUUUUUUUUUUUUUCUCUCUUCCCACUGAUCUGGGGCUUUAGGGAGAGUUGCAGAUAGCAAACAGGAGGGGAUUUAAGCCUUUCUCUUCACCUUUAAAAAAAAGCCCGGCACAGCAUUGCUCUCCUAGGAAUAGGCCCACAUUAUUACUGCAGCCACAGCCACAUCAUCAGAGCUACAGUGCUCGGAGUUGUAGAUCAUCAGCCUGCUGUCACAGCCAUGAUGUAUGAUGGAAAAAGCCAUCCAUCUGAAAGUAUGCAGCACAAAGGGCUGGGGCUGGAGCCAUGCAGCAUGGCAGGGCCAGUGUACAGAGCACCGAACACUUUCCAACCCAAACAAGGCACAGAUUUGUGCCUGAUGAACUGAGGUUCAUUAGGAGGAAAAGGGAACAACUUUAAAGCCUCUCACUUGCAGGUGUCCAAAAUAGCAAAAUGCAAACACGCUCACGGAUUAAGAAACAAAUCCAGCUACUGCUUCCUCCACACACACACCUCUUUCCCUUAAAGCUUACAUUUGAUUUUCUUUUCCAGUGUAAAACCUCAAUCAUAUUUACACCAGCUUUAGGAUCUUUACAGACAAAGACAUUUAAGGCUGUGAAAUCUUGGGCGAAAGUAAAAUGAUAUGGUGGAUCAAUCAGCUGAUGCUUCUUCCCUGCACAGCAGGGGACUCCAGCAAACCUCUUGCAUUUUGUGCAGAGACUCAGCUCCAACUGAAUUUUUCUUUUGGCACUAUAAGAGCAAAAAGAUAUUUAAUGGAAAAAAAAAAAAAAAAAAAAAAAAGGAGAGAGCAAGGGAGAAGGAACAAUCAUGUGCCUUUAUGCAUGGCUCCAGGUUCCUCAACUAAAAUGAACUGUUGCUCUUCCAAGAGAGAAACCAUUUCACAUCCAUUAUUCUCUUGCACAACACUCCAAGUGUGGGUGCAGAAAUAGUUUCCACCUAAAAAACCCUCAAAUUAGAAGAACACAUGGCAUGCAUGGAUCACAGAGGCACAGCCCAGGGUGCCGCUUACCCACACAUGGUUGUCCCAAAUUUUUUAACAUCUGUCACCAUGACACAAGCAAAAAAAAACACUUUAUGAAAGCAGAUGUUCAGAAAGUUCUGGUUUUUUCCUCUCCAUGUGAGAAAUGCCUCAUUUAAAAAAACAGAAAUGGUGAUACCUGUAGAAGUCUGUAGAGGUAAGGAGCAGGUGAUGCAGGAGCAGGCACUUCAGCAGCCCUGCCUUUUGUGCAGCAGCAGAGGGAUGAGUAGUUUGAUUUCAAAUAGCCACAAAGUAAUUUUCAAAACACCUACCUCACUGUAACAUAGCACACUUGAAAUACCACAUUCCUGUUCAUUAAUGGUAAUUUAUGGCACAUACACCCUGCUGUUACUGAGAAUGUCAGUCCGAAAGCCUUUGACAAACACAUCCCCUGCUUGUGGGGAUGAAAGAAAACCAGCAUCCGAGGUGACGUCCGAUCUAACACCAUUCUUCAGAGACCUGCUGAUAAAUCUGUCAUGGGUGCCAUGGAAAAGAAAGAGAACACCAAUAACAAAAAAGUCAGCAAACUUUGUAUUGGAGGGAUCUUAGAACAGUCACGAGUAUACGACAGUGUGCGGCUGCGGCUCAGGAGAGCUUUUCAGUUAUCCUGCUUGAAAUUCUGCCCUGUUUGGUGUUUUUGUUUUGUUUUGUUUUUUUAAGGUACUUUAUUCUGGGCCAACUCCUGAGAAGAAAACUGGGAGGAAAGAGCUCAAGGAAAGACUUUUUUUGCCUAAACAGCCAGGCCAGCAGUUUAUAGAGCCAACAGAGGCACAGUUGCAUUCUGCAUGAGUUGACCAACCAUGGGUUGAACUGUCCCGCUUAAUUCAGAAACUGAGCUUUGGCUAACUGUUAGCCUUAAAUAGACCUAUGUGUAGUUAAAAGUCACAGGUAAGUCUUACUAAAUUAUCUGGGAGGUGAAGAUCCUGUUUACAAAGCACCUUCAGCAAAUUGAUUUACGUUGCCUAAAUGGUGCCCACCUCCACUCUGUUUGACUUUUGUGAUUGUAAGGCUGGAGCAACUAUAAUUAAAGAGCAUUUUUGGAGUGAGCACAGCACUAUGCAGUGUAAUGUGACAUUCAGAAUAUAUCAGUGUCACUUCGCACGGGAGUUCUGAUUACUUUUACAUGUGCGCCUCAGCCCUGUCAUUCAUCCCUAGCGAAGCUCAUCUGCCUCAAACCACAGUGUCUCACCUAUGUCAUGUGGUUUCACCCCCUCUAUAAACCUCUGCCAUUUCCAUUUUAAUCAUGUGUUUCAUUCUUAAGGUAAAUAAUUCUAUUUGCAUGUUAAUGAUUCUACUAGCCUAUUGCCUAAUACAAACAGUCCUAAAAUAGGGCAGCUCACCAAUGUGGAAGUGAGACCUAAGUAUCCAGUAAGUAUCGCCCAUUCACACAGCAAGACGUGUCUGAAAUGGGAAGAGAGAUCUGUAUCUUUUUCCACGAGAUUCCAGCCGGAGCUGAGACUGCUCUUUGAUUCAGCAAUAAUGAGUGAACAUUGCACCAACGACAUUUACAUUUUUCAGUGGUAAGGAAAACACAAGACUGUUCUUCUGGGUUCAGAUUCUGGCCCCCAAAUGCACGCUGAUUUCCUGAACUUUGAACCGCCUCCUGAUGUGAACGAACAGCCUGGCAAUUAGCAAAAGGCGACAUCAGAUGUGAAAGGUGAAAUCAAAUUUUCAUCAGUUUCUGCGUAUCUGCUUCACUGGGAAACUUUCUGAAAAUAUAUCAGAAGGGCUGUUGGAGGUCCUCUGCCGUGCUGCCACGUGCCGUGUCCAACUAUUAU